rnacentral:rRNA from 1 species
UACGUAGGGUGCGAGCGUUGUCCGGAAUUAUUGGGCGUAAAGAGCUUGUAGGCGGUUUGUCGCGUCUGCUGUGAAAAUCCGGGGCUCAACCCCGGACUUGCAGUGGGUACGGGCAGACUAGAGUGUGGUAGGGGAGACUGGAAUUCCUGGUGUAGCGGUGAAAUGCGCAGAUAUCAGGAGGAACACCGGUGGCGAAGGCGGGUCUCUGGGCCGUAAACUGACGCUGAGGAGCGAAAGCGUGGGGAGCGAACAGGAUU